UGACUGUUCCUAAAUUCAGAUAAGUCAAUAUUUCUGGAUAAUAGCUUUAUAUGCUAAACUUUGCAAAUUACCAGUAAAUAUAUUGUUAAUUCAUUCCCGUUGCAGGAAUGGAAUGUAUAUUCAUAUAUUUCCUUAGCUAGUUAUGAUUUCAUAAAAUAUGAAAUCUGACCAGCUUUUAUCCAGGUAUAUUUCUGCUUUUAAUAAAAAUGUUUUUAAAUUAAAUGAAAUAAAAC